rfam:Marine metagenome 1096626592663, whole genome shotgun sequence.
ACUCAACGCUAAUUUAAUUCGAAGAGGUGAGUUUUGGGUGCACAAGCAAGCCGUUCUAAACGGAUCCUUAAACACGCAGGUAGCCUCAAACAUGUUUAAUUCGAGUUU